rnacentral:misc_RNA from 1 species
CCGGUAAGAAACCCUAAACCCCUUCCUUCUGUGUUUUUCUGUAUGUUUUCUGAGAUGAACUGAAUUCGAUAUGUGUUAGGGUUUCACCGUGCCGAUGACUUUUUUUCUGAGAAAGAGAUCGUCAUCCAUCGCGUGCCUUCGUUUUCCCUUCAUGAACCGGGGCAGGCUUUGGCGUUCUUGGAACUUCUUCUUCCGCCACUGGACUUGACCCAAUUAGUGUUAUCUAUUAUUAUUCACUUUCUUCCAUUUUUUUCCUUACUACAAAAAAAAAACGUGGUUCUUCUUCUCUCUCUGCGGACGAGUUUUCUUUCUCUUCGAUUCGUUCUGGUUGCUACAUUCUGAAGCACUUCAUAUUUCGCUUUUUCUUUUUCAUUUUCUUUUAUAUUAUUUGGAUGGCCAA